CCUACGGGAGGCAGCAGUGAGGAAUAUUGGUCAAUGGACGAGAGUCUGAACCAGCCAAGUAGCGUGAAGGAUGACUGCCCUAUGGGUUGUAAACUUCUUUUAUCAAGGAAUAAAACGAGGCACGUGUGCCUUUUUGCAUGUACUUUAUGAAUAAGGAUCGGCUAACUCCGUGCCAGCAGCCGCGGUAAUACGGAGGAUCCGAGCGUUAUCCGGAUUUGUUGGGUUUAAAGGGAGCGUAGAUGGGUUGUUAAGUCAGUUGUGAAAGUUUGCGGCUCAACCGUAAAAUUGCAAUUGAUACUGGCAGUCUUGAGUACAGUUGAGGUAGGCGGAAUUCGUGGUGUAGCGGUGAAAUGCUUAGAUAUCACGAAGAACCCCGAUUGCGAAGGCAGCUUACUAAACUGUGACAGACAUUGAUGCUCGAAAGUGUGGGUAUCAAACAGGAUUAGAUACCCGAGUAGUC
rnacentral:rRNA from 1 species